GACGAACGCUGGCGGCGUGCCUAAUACAUGCAAGUUGAGCGCUGAAGGUUGGUACUUGUACCAACUGGAUGAGCAGCGAACGGGUGAGUAACGCGUGGGGAAUCUGCCUUUGAGCGGGGGACAACAUUUGGAAACGAAUGCUAAUACCGCAUAAAAACUUUAAACACAAGUUUUAAGUUUGAAAGAUGCAAUUGCAUCACUCAAAGAUGAUCCCGCGUUGUAUUAGCUAGUUGGUGAGGUAAAGGCUCACCAAGGCGAUGAUACAUAGCCGACCUGAGAGGGUGAUCGGCCACGUUGGGACUGAGACACGGCCCAAACUCCUACGGGAGGCAGCAGUAGGGAAUCUUCGGCAAUGGACGAAAGUCUGACCGAGCAACGCCGCGUGAGGGAAGAAGGUUUUCGGAUCGUAAAACUCUGUUGGUAGAGAAGAACGUUGGUGAGAGUGGAAAGCUCAUCAAGUGACGGUAACUACCCAGAAAGGGACGGCUAACUACGUG
rnacentral:rRNA from 1 species